GAGACGUGGCCACUUCCUUCGAGGCGGCGGCGCUCAGUGAGGCGAGCGGCGCGUUCGGUUCAGUCAGCCACCUCGAGCCCGGGAGAAGCCGAGCGAGCGAGCGAAGUUUCCAGACGGCGCUGGCCGGUUGCGGCCGGUUGGUGCGUCGGUCGGCCGUGCCGCCGCGGAGCGUUCAGGGGGACUCAGAAGUCGGUCGCCCCGAGCCAAAGCCGGCUUGGCAGGCGGGCCUCGGAAGCGGGCACGACGGCCCCGGUCCCACCCCACCCCGGAACAAACGGAAACAGUCGCUCGCUCGGACUUGCCUUUUGUAGCGGAUCCCGCAUCUCCGAAUGGAAAGCGUAGAAGUCAAAACAACACUGCAAACCUCCUGGAGAAGACACCUUCACGGGCAGACAAAACUGAACCUGAGGUUCCUCACAGUACUCACUACUUCUGAGCACUCACGAUACAAUGGCCUAAAUUCAGGGUUACUGCUGUGGCAGCUGCUGGGAUCCUGGAGAGAAUUCUUCUCACCACUGCAAUCUGUGCUUUGUAUCUGCCUUUGUAAACACGAGGAAUAGUGCAACCCCGCCAUGGACAGCAUUCCCUGAAUAGCUUCUUCCUCGGUGCUCGUCGAGGAAAAAAAAAAAAAAGGCAACUUUCAAAGCUCCAGAGCAUUUAUGGAUGGACCAUGGUUUCAAGCAGUUUAUUAUCUGGGCUCUCAGAACACUGCCUUUCUCUUCCGCAAGCACCACUGCAUAGCAACUCUUCUAUCAGCUCUCAGUGAUGCACUGCCUUGCCCUGACGUAAUAACUACCAACUACAGAGGACCAGUCUUACUGGGAAUUAGUGGAAACUAAAAUGAAUUCAAUAAUAU
rnacentral:lncRNA from 1 species